rnacentral:rRNA from 1 species
AGGACGAACGCUGGCGGCGUGCCUAACACAUGCAAGUCGAGCGGGGACAUGCGACGGAGGCGAAGUACUCGUACGGAGUCAAAGAUGUAAUGUUCUAGCGGCGGACGGGUGAGUAACGCGUGAGCAACCUGUCCCUUACAGGGGGAUAACACAGCGAAAGUUGUACUAAUACCGCAUGAGACCACAGCAUCACAUGGUGCAGGGGUCAAAGGAGCAAUCCGGUAAGGGGUGGGCUCGCGUCCGAUUAGAUAGUUGGUGAGGUAACGGCCCACCAAGUCGACGAUCGGUAGCCGACCUGAGAGGGUGAUCGGCCACAUUGGGACUGAGACACGGCCCAACUCCUACGGGAGGCAGCAGUGGGGAAUAUUGGGCGAUGGGGGGAAACCCUGACCCAGCAACGCCGCGUGAGGGAAGAAGGUUUUCGGAUCGUAAACCUCUGUCCCAGGUGAAGAGGAAGAGACGGUAGCCUGGGAGGAAGCCCCGGCUAACUACGUGCCAGCCGCAGC